rnacentral:ncRNA from 1 species
UUUAUACUCGGAAAUAAAGAAACACAUCCUCUAUCUGGGCACCUUGGAUGUGCGGAGUUAAUGGUGCAACCGGCCAGUAUAUA